AACUGGUCGGGAGCUGAUGCCGCUUUCCUGAUGAGGCCUUGGCAGGUCGAAACCAGUU
rnacentral:hammerhead_ribozyme from 1 species